ACGCAAUAGAUACCCUGGUAGUCCACGCCGUAAACGAUGAGUGCUAAGUGUUAGAGGGUUUCCGCCCUUUAGUGCUGCAGCUAACGCAUUAAGCACUCCGCCUGGGGAGUACGGUCGCAAGACUGAAACUCAAAGGAAUUGACGGGGGCCCGCACAAGCGGUGGAGCAUGUGGUUUAAUUCGAAGCAACGCGAAGAACCUUACCAGGUCUUGACAUCCUCUGACAACUCUAGAGAUAGAGCGUUCCCCUUCGGGGGACAGAGUGGCAGGUGGUGCAUGGUUGUCGUCAGCUCGUGUCGUGAGAUGUUGGGUUAAGUCCCGCAACGAGCGCAACCCUUGAUCUUAGUUGCCAGCAUUUAGUUGGGCACUCUAAGGUGACUGCCGGUGACAAACCGGAGGAAGGUGGGGAUGACGUCAAAUCAUCAUGCCCCUCAUGACCUGGGCUACACACGUGCUACAAUGGAUGGUACAAAGGGCUGCAAGACCGCGAGGUCAAGCCAAUCCCAUAAAACCAUUCUCAGUUCGGA
rnacentral:rRNA from 1 species